rnacentral:rRNA from 1 species
AUGGCAUCCGAGUUCUCCUUUGCCCGAGGCGUCUCCCUCCCCGCCGCCGCGCACUGGCCGCCCCUCGCCUUCACCUCCUACAGGCUGCGGCACAGUGCGGCGUGCACCAGGGCGAAUCCUCGGGUCGUGGCGGCGGCGAGGGCGGUCUCAGUGGCCGCCGCCAGGAGGAUGCCCGGCUCAGUCAGAUACGGCGGCGCCAGGGUAGCGGCGUUGCGGGCGGAGGAGGCCGAGGUGGCCGUGCCACCGUCGGUGUCGGUGCGCGUCGCCUACGAGCUGCAGCUGGCCGGUCACCGCUACCUCGAUGUCAGAACGGAGGGCGAGUUCGGUGGUGGGCAUCCGGCAGGAGCGGUGAACGUCCCCUACAUGUAUAGCACCGGCUCAGGAAUGGCCAAGAACCCGCACUUUCUCGAGCAAGUGUCGGCGAUCUUCGGCAGGGACGACGAGAUCAUCAUCGGAUGCCAAAGUGGCAAGAGAUCUCUCAUGGCGGCAGCCGAACUCUGCUCCUCUGGCUUCACUGCCGUGACCGACAUCGCCGGAGGGUUCUCGACUUGGAGGGAGAACGGACUGCCGGUCAAUGGACGCGGGCUUCUAUAA